GCUCCGGUGGUGUAGUCCGGUUAAGCAUUUCGCCCUCUCAAGGCGGAGAUCCCGGGUUCAAAUCCCGGCCGGAGCA
rfam:Candidatus Nitrososphaera gargensis Ga9.2, complete genome.